UACGUAGGGGGCAAGCGUUGUCCGGAUUUAUUGGGCGUAAAGAGCGUGUAGGCGGCCAGGUAGGUCAGCUGUGAAAACUCGAGGCUCAACCUCGAGAUGUCGGCUGAAACCAUCUGGCUAGAGUCCGGAAGAGGAGAAUGGAAUUCCCGGUGUAGCGGUGAAAUGCGCAGAUAUCGGGAAGAACACCCAUGGCGAAGGCAGCUCUCUGGGACGGUACUGACGCUGAGACGCGAAAGCGUGGGGAGCGAACAGG
rnacentral:rRNA from 1 species